rnacentral:rRNA from 1 species
UACAGAGGGGGCAAGCGUUGUUCGGAAUUACUGGGCGUAAAGGGCGCGUAGGCGGCCCGCUAAGUCGAACGUGAAAUCCCUGGGCUCAACCCAGGAACUGCGUCCGAUACUGGCAGGCUUGAAUCCGGGAGAGGGAUGCGGAAUUCCAGGUGUAGCGGUGAAAUGCGUAGAUAUCUGGAGGAACACCGGUGGCGAAGGCGGCAUCCUGGACCGGUAUUGACGCUGAGGCGCGAAAGCCAGGGGAGCACACGGG